rnacentral:rRNA from 1 species
AACGCGCGUGAGCGAAGAAGGCCUUCGGGUCGUAAAGCUCUGUUGUUAGGGAAGAACAAGUAUCGGAGUAACUGCCGGUACCUUGACGGUACCUAACCAGAAAGCCACGGCUAACUACGUGCCAGCAGCCGCGGUAAUACGUAGGUGGCAAGCGUUGUCCGGAAUUAUUGGGCGUAAAGCGCGCGCAGGCGGUCCUUUAAGUCUGAUGUGAAAGCCCACGGCUCAACCGUGGAGGGUCAUUGGAAACUGGGGGACUUGAGUGCAGAAGAGGAGAGUGGAAUUCCACGUGUAGCGGUGAAAUGCGUAGAGAUGUGGAGGAACACCAGUGGCGAAGGCGACUCUCUGGUCUGUAACUGACGCUGAGGCGCGAAAGCGUGGGGAGCAAACAGGAUUAGAUACCCUGGUAGUCCACGCCGUAAACGAUGAGUGCUAAGUGUUAGAGGGUUUCCGCCCUUUAGUGCUGCAGCUAACGCGUUAAGCACUCCGCCUGGGGAGUACGGCCGCAAGGCUG